UGGGGAAUAUUGGACAAUGGGCGCAAGCCUGAUCCAGCAAUGCCGCGUGUGUGAAGAAGGCCUUCGGGUUGUAAAGCACUUUUAUCAGGAGCGAAACGCUGUCGGCUAAUACCCGGCGGAACUGACGGUACCUGGGGAAUAAGCACCGGCUAACUUCGUGCCAGCAGCCGCGGUAAUACGAAGGGUGCAAGCGUUAAUCGGAAUUACUGGGCGUAAAGCGUGCGUAGGCGGUUUCUUAAGUCUGCUGUGAAAUCCCCGGGCUCAACCUGGGAACGGCAGUGGAUACUGGGAGGCUAGAGUGUGUCAGAGGGUGGUGGAAUUCCCGGUGUAGCGGUGAAAUGCGUAGAGAUCGGGAGGAACAUCAGUGGCGAAGGCGGCCACCUGGGACAACACUGACGCUGAGGCACGAAAGCGUGGGGAGCAAACAGGAUUAGAUACCCUGGUAGUCCACGCCCUAAACGAUGCGAACUGGAUGUUGGUCUCAACUCGGAGAUCAGUGUCGAAGCUAACGCGUUAAGUCGCGCUGGGGAGUACGGUCGCAAGACUGAAACUCAAAUG
rnacentral:rRNA from 1 species